rnacentral:rRNA from 1 species
GAGGGAUCCUAGCGUUGUUCGGAAUCAUUGGGCGUAAAGCGGGUGUAGGCGGACUUAUAAGUCAGGUGUGAAAUCCCAGGGCUCAACCCUGGAAGUGCACUUGAUACUGCAACGUCUUGAGUGUGGUAGAGGCUAUUAGAAUUCCUGGUGUAGUGGUGAAAUACGUAGAUAUCAGGAGGAAUACCGGAGGCGAAGGCGGAUAGCUGGGUCAACACUGACGCUGAGACCCGAAAGCGUGGGGAUCAAACAGGAUUAGAUACCCUGGUAGUCCACGCUGUAAACGAUGGAUACUUGUUGUUAGAGGUAUUGACCCCUCUAGUGACGUAGCUAACGCGUUAACGUAUCCCGCCUGGGGAGUACGGUCGCAAGAUUA